GAUGUGAUCGUGUUCAUCUUCGUCUGCACUUGUGCCAGGGCUUGUCUGGCUCUCUGGAACAGAUACUGUUCAUCAUGGGGAGACAUGGGGGAAAUCCCACACGCUGUUCUACAGGCAUUGUUGGAUGCGACCACUCAGGACUUCCAACCAGUAGAGUAUGAAACUCAAUCAAUGAACCUGCAUGGGGUCCUGGCCCAUAACCUGCUCUCUAAAUCAGACUGUACAGCAGCUUAUGAACAAAAUCUCACUCUGUAACAGAAUUCGUUGGUUGUUAGAUGAGAUUGGCAGUCUUACAACUCAAAAUGUCAUGUGUUCACUGGUGAUGGAUCAGUGCAAGACACACAGGUAAUCGACUUACUUUCACAUAAUUGGCUUGUGUAACUGUGUUUGACAAGAGAGAGAGUACACCAUUUGUCCUAUCUAGUAAGCAUAGUCAAUUUUGCUCCCUAGGUCACAAAUGUCAAGUGUGCCAUUUUUGGAAUGCAAGCUUGUAUUCCCCUGAUGACAGGAUAAAUAUUUUUCUGUUUAAUCUCGUAUAUCUAGUAUUGGUGAGUAAGUAAAUACCAUGCUGCAAACCUUUUUUUAACCUACAGAUAUCUUGAAUAUACUGUAGGCAUAUAAUCUUUACUGUAUCAUUAUACGAGUGUUAUAAAUAUUAUAGAGCAGCACUGUUGAUUCUAAUUGAUCAGAUGGUGUUGGGUAAUUUUCUAUAGCAGCAUUUCUGCCAGAACUGUAAUUGCAAAAUAUAGCUUUAUAUUAAUGCACUUGCUGUAAUAUGCCUUUUUGUUUUUUACCGUUAAAGCUUAAAUAGAAGUGAAUUGAAUAGCAAUUUAUCUGCAAAAUUCAAGUCUAAUAAUCAUAUUUGCAGCGUGAGUAUAGAGGUUUGGGCUCAUUCAGCCACAAAAGCGUUAUCAAAGUCUUAGGUAGUGGCUUAGGCUGAGGAGGCCUGGGGUUAAGUCAGUGUUUUAAUUAAUCCUAAAGGUGUUUGCUAAGGUCACAGCUCUAUAGCAGGCCCCUUAAGAUCAUCCACCCCAUUUCUUCAUGAAGGUGCUAGAACAGGUUUAAGUCUCCUGGUCCAAGUGAAGGGAAAUUUGAAUGCUAUUGAAUGCAACUGCAAAGCCUAUACAACUG